rnacentral:lncRNA from 10 species
AGCCUUUAUCUCCACUCUGCGGAGAUUCACGCCUGGAAAACGCUCUUCUGAGAGGAUCUGUGGAGGUCAACCCAGGAGAGAGAAGACAGGACUGAAGCACUGAAAGGGUCCUGCCGUUAAGGGCGCAGGAUUGUAUAGAAUAUAUAAUAGCAGUAGCAGCUCUGUUUACGGAGCAUUAACCUUACGUGGAGUUAUUUCCUGCAUUUCCUCCUUUCGUCUUUACAAGGUAGCCGUUUGGCGUCGUGAGGUAUGGAUGUUCCCAUCCCUAAUUUGCAAAAUAGGUAACUGAGGCUCAGGAGAGCUAGACUAGUUUGUGCACAGCCGAGAAGUGGUCAAGCUAGAAUGGGACCCCAGGUUUGUGCUCCCUACUCUCCACCGAUAACCUAUCAAAGGGCUUUGCAAGAGCUUUUGACUAAUCGUCUGUCAAUGGUUCUUCAUUCACGUAUUAAUUGCACAUCAGUAUGUGCCAAAUCUACUAGACAUUGGAGAAACAGUAGGAACAACACAUGGUACCGGCACAUGGAUCUUUCAGGAAAACGAAGUAGGUAAUAAACAGGAAAAAGCCCGAGUCUGAUGCUAAGAAGAACAUAAACAGGAUGCUGAGAGAUUGGGUCUCUCCACAUUGCCCCGGCUGCUCUCCAACCCCUGAGUUCAAGUGAUUCACCUCCCUUGGCCUCCCAAAGUACUGGGAUUACAGGCGUGAGCCACCGUGCCUGGCUGAGAAGAUGGAUUUAAGACAUAUUUUGGAGCGGAAAGUGACCAGAAGAGGUGUGCAGUUUCCAGGCCUGGCCCAUACAGACCUCCAACAGGUGCUCCCCUGUGCUGUUACUCCUUCUGCCAACUGGAAGCAGAUGGUGACCAGGCUCUGGAGAAGGCAAGGCCUGAAGAUGGGAGAUUCCUAAGUGGAGGAGAACUGUGCCUUACUGACCUAAAUAUCCACUCAGUAUUGUUAUGUGAGAAUAAAUAAACUUGUGUUGACCGUUUA